CGAGCCUGCUCUGGCCGCGGGGAACCGCAGGCUACUCUCCACAUCAUCCCGUCCGAGACUUUCCCUAGAGCCCUCUUCUGCGUCUCCAGUUUUUGAAAAGGAUCAAAGCAAGACCUGGACCUGAACCAGUUUCCCAAGGAGGGAGUGCCCAUUCAGGCUGAACGCAGAAACGGUGGUACCUACAAAUUCCUGUUGAAGAACACAGUAGAAGAUUUCUGUUUGCAGAUUGUUAUCAUGGUCGGUGUACUUCCGUUUUCAACAUUCUCAGACCUGUCAAGGGAAAGAAAUUUCUCAUCCCCGAGAAUCUCUCUAUUCUGCUAUAGGAAUUAACUGCCAGCUAUUCUGUGAACUAUAGUAGCCUGCCUACUUCUGUUUUACAUCGUGUGGAGCUGGUGUCACAUUAUUAAUUUUUUUAAUUGGAAUAUUCACAAGGAAGUUCUCUGCAAUGAGAUCCUGUACUGCUUAUUAAACAAUUGAUAAAUCAACUGCAACAACUCUCUGAGUAAAUAUUAACAGAACCCAUCUUAAUCCUUAUGUUCCCAUGCCCCCCAUCUCAUCUAGCGCAACACAGAAUUUGUAGUGUCUCGAAAAAUGCAUUUCAAACUUAUUAAAUUUACAUUUAUAUUAAG